rnacentral:rRNA from 1 species
GACGAACGCUGGCGGCGUGCUUAACACAUGCAAGUCGAACGGAAAGGCCUCAGCUUGCUGGGGUACUCGAGUGGCGAACGGGUGAGUAACACGUGGGUGAUCUGCCUUGCACUCUGGGAUAAGCUUGGGAAACUGGGUCUAAUACCGGAUAUGAACUGCCUUUAGUGUGGUGGUUGGAAAGUUUUUUCGGUGCAAGAUGAGCUCGCGGCCUAUCAGCUUGUUGGUGGGGUAAUGGCCUACCAAGGCGUCGACGGGUAGCCGGCCUGAGAGGGUGUACGGCCACAUUGGGACUGAGAUUCGGCCCAGACUCCUACGGGAGGCAGCAGUGGGGAAUAUUGCACAAUGGGCGGAAGCCUGAUGCAGCGACGCCGCGUGGGGGAUGACGGCCUUCGGGUUGUAAACUCCUUUCGACAGGGACGAAGCUUUUUGUGACGGUACCUGUAUAAGAAGCACCGGCUAACUACGUG